CUACGGGGCGCUCCAGUUAGGUAUAAUCUACAAUGCGCGCAAGCGUGAUAGUUUGAGCCAGAGUGCGUUUCUAUUGAAAUGCUUUUGUGAAAUGUAAAAAGUUUCACGAAUAAGGACUGGGUAAGACAAGUGCCAGCCGCCGCGGUAAUACUUGCGGUCCAAGUCGCAGCCAUUUUUAUUGGGUCUAAAACAUCCGUAGCUUGUUUGAUAAGUUUCUUGUGAAAUAUUAUGUCUUAAACAUAAUGCGUGCAAGAAGUACUGUCAAGCUAGAGACAGGGAGACGGUAAAGAGUACGUUUGAAGUAAUGGUAAAAUAUUUUAAUCACAGACGGACUAACAAUUAGCGAAGGCACUUUACGAGAACUGUUCUGACAGUAAGGGAUGAAGGCUAGGGGCGCAAAAGGGAUUAGAUACCCGGGUAGUC
rnacentral:rRNA from 1 species